rnacentral:rRNA from 1 species
AUUGAACGCUGGCGGCAUGCCUUACACAUGCAAGUCGAACGGCAGCACGGGAGCAAUCCUGGUGGCGAGUGGCGAACGGGUGAGUAAUAUAUCGGAACGUGCCCAGUCGUGGGGAUAACGUAGCGAAAGCUACGCUAAUACCGCAUACGAUCUAUGGAUGAAAGCGGGGGAUCGCAAGACCUCGCGCGAUUGGAGCGGCCGAUAUCAGAUUAGGUAGUUGGUGAGGUAAGGCUCACCAAGCCGACGAUCUGUAGCUGGUCUGAGAGGACGACCAGCCACACUGGGACUGAGACACGGCCCAGACUCCUACGGGAGGCAGCAGUGGGGAAUUUUUGGACAAUGGCGCAAGCCUGAUCCAGCAAUGCCGCGUGCAGGAUGAAGGCCUUC